UCCGCCUCCCAAGCCCGCCGUGCGGCGCGCAGGAGCCGCCUGUGCCGGGGAGCCUGGCACCCGCCAGCGCCUCGCGCCUAGGCCUGCGCUGGGGCAGCUCCCGGGACACGGGGUCGCUGGCCCCAGCCAAGGCCCGCUCACAUCCCCGAGCGGGUGGAGGGCUAGAGCUCUGGGGCGAGCCCCCUCCCUUGUGCUGCCAGGCGGGGACCCCUCCGCUGCCGCUCGGACCACAGAAAGCCCCUUAUCUUGGGGGGGCGCUUGCCAUACCAGCCCAAGGGGGGGAUUUAAACCGGGUUACGCAACUGCUGCAGCGGACUGUGUGGACGCUCAUCCUCGGUGAAAAUACUUCCCCCUCAUCUUCCUCCUGUAGGUGGAACAUCUCCCUUAGGAGAAUUUAUUGGUCAACUCUUGUACCUUAGUGGCUCAGCUGAACAGAUGCAGGAAGAAAUCUGGACACUUGAAUGCUCAGACACCUCUCAAGUUCCCCUGCAGACGGAAAGCCAGCCACUGGACAUUUGCAUUUAUCGAGACCUCCUCAUGACCCUGGGGCUUUACACAUUUUUUGCAAAGAAAGCAAUGAUUCCAUCGCCUUCCAUCCUACAAAAAAGAUUUUCAAUCAGCUUUUUGAAACUAAAAGCCAAGGGCUCCACCAAACCUCCAAAUGGGGGAUCAGUCACCAAUAUGACUCCUUCACCUUUCUCUUGAUGCAAGAAUUUUCUACAGAUUUCAUGUGCAGCCUGCAGGAGAUAUCGGUUACUUUCCAGAAAAAGAGCUCAAAAAGUUUAAGGACAGCUUCAGGCAUUAUUAAAAAAAAGUUUUUUUAAUACAUUUGUAGUUUCCUUUUAGAAGUCUGAAAAUAUGUAUUGCCUUUUAAUUUCUUAGUGUUUGUGAAAAUUGUUAGAUUGAGAACACUGAAAAUGAGUCCUUUAUUUUUCAUAUACUAGAUAUAGUAAGGAUAGCAACAGUUCAAGCUUCCUAACACUGCCCUUCUUAUUGGGUCCUAACCCAGACCUGGAGGGAUGGAGGCCAAUGCCCAUUCAAUAUUUGCUCUUUUCUCUUGGCUAGCAAUUACCAAGUUAUGAAUGCAGAUGCUAAAUAGCCACCCCACUAGAAAUUAGGAUAAAGUCACCAGUUUAUUCCAUAUCAUUACCAAAUCUAUUACUUUCAGAAACAAAUAUUCCAUUCUGGAGCUGGAUUUCCACUGAUAGCCUUGCACAUCUAGAUUAGUAUUCUACUUACAUCCUAAACAAUCAUGUACUGUUCCUUCCCCUAUGAACCAUGUCCAAAAAAGUACAGUGGUUUAAUAGCUUCAAAUGAUCUAUUAUGUAUACAUUUCUAUAGUGCCAAUCACUUGAGACUUCCCAUAAGUUAAAAAAUUAAACUACAACGGGGUGUGACUAUCCCUAAUACUUAAAAAAAAAAAAAAGUGUAAGAUACAGUAAUACUUUAGUAGAAUGAUAAAGGAUUGGAUCUGAACCAAGAAAGCAAGGAAAGUUAAUUAUGGAACUGAAACCUCAAAUAGCUGGUUUCAUUCCUGAAUGUUAGUUUUAUUUAUUAUUUUUGAGUUAACGUUAAAAGCUAUAGAUAUGUUGUUAUAAGCUGGUAGCUACAGUAACAUUUAUUGUGUAAAAUUACUUGGAUGAAGGUAUUGUCAGAAACAAUCUCAAAUUUGUAGAUUAUAUUACAGUAUAGUUGUAUUCUGGAAAGUGACUAUAAAUAUGGCAUUGUGGGGUUGCAUGUUUCUUUUCAAUGAUUCCCAGACCAAAAGUGCUCAGUAUAACUGUAAAAAGAUGUUUUUACUAACUGUCAACACUACAUAUUUGUCCUCACUUCAGAGAGUCAAGCUGAGAUAUUUCAAUCUUGCACAUUUGUAGUAAAUCCUGCCCUCAGUGGACCAGUGUAACCCCAUUGUCUUCAGCGGACUUUAAUAAUACAUUCUGUUAGCAAUUCACAAGUGGGAAGCUUGCUCCCUCUUCACGGUGUUGGAUCUGCAAGACUAACUGGAGUAAAAAGCAGUAGCCAGCAGAUAGGACUCUGAAGACACAAAGGAAGUAAUCUGUUGAAAAGGGUGGGGCCAUUUUUAAGAAGUCACGUCUCAGACUGGAGAAAAUAACUUGUACUGAUAAACUAUUUUGUAUUAAAGAGAAAAAAGUAACUAAAAAGUAGUUAAAGUAAAAUAGGCAGGUAUUCUUGGAUAUAAUGGUAUAAGUUACUGAAGAAAUAGACACUGCUAUUCUUUGAUCUAAAAUAGAGUUUGCUGGGCAUUACAUUAUGGUAACUAUUUUAUAAUAUUUUGGACCAUAUCAGUAAUGUGAACAAAGUUCUACAUGAACAACAUACACAGCUUUGAGAAAAUGUUCAGUGAAUUUGACUGGCCCUUACCUCUCCACCAAAGAAAUAAUGGUUAAACAUAUUAUAGUGGCAGAAGUCUUCCUCUGUAUAAAACUGUGAAUACCUGUAAAGUAAGUUUUCAAUGUAAUAGAAAACAUAUAAAUGAAUUCCUGAAUGUUAGUAGUAUGUUAGUUUGGGGGAAAACUUGUGAGCACAGGGCCAUGACUGCUUAAUUACAAAUUAUCUUGGCAGGCUGAGUGCAGAAGUACUUAUAUUGGCCAAUCCCUGAGCUAGCUGGAAAACAAGUAUACUUCAUGGAUCCUGGCUAGGGGGAAAAAAGAACAAAUGGCAAAAAUUAAAAAUAAAACAAACCACACAGAAAAAAUAGUGUGUGUAUGUUCCCCAGACAGACACUUAGCAAAACCUACCUGAAAUCAAUAU